UACAGAGGGUGCAAGCGUUGCUCGGAAUUAUUGGGCGUAAAGGGGAAGUAGGUUGUCUUGUUUGUCUGGGGUGAAAUCCCUGAGCUUAACUCAGGAAGUGCCUCGGAAACGGCAAGACUAGAGUUCUGGAGAGGGUCGCGGAAUUCCCGGUGUAGCAGUGAAAUGCGUAGAUAUCGGGAGGAACACCAGAGGCGAAAGCGGCGGCCUGGACAGAUACUGACACUCAAUUCCGAAAGCGUGGGGAUCAAACAGG
rnacentral:rRNA from 1 species